UCGAGAAUUUUUCACAAUGGGCGCAAGCCUGAUGGAGCGACGCCGCGUGGGGGAUGAAGGGCUCCGGCCCGUAAACCCCUGUCAUUCGGGAUCAAUCCCUGCAGUCGAACACAUUGCAGGUUGAUAGUACUGAAAGAGGAAGGGACGGCUAACUCUGUGCCAGCAGCCGCGGUAAUACAGAGGUCCCAAGCGUUGUUCGGAUUCACUGGGCGUAAAGGGUGCGUAGGCGGUCGGGGAGGUCUGACGUGAAAUCUCCAAGCUCAACUUGGAAAUGGCGUCGGGUACUCUCUGGCUUGAGGAAUGGAGGGGAGACUGGAAUUCUCGGUGUAGCAGUGAAAUGCGUAGAUAUCGAGAGGAACACCAGUGGCGAAGGCGAGUCUCUGGACAUUUCCUGACGCUGAGGCACGAAAGCCAGGGGAGCAAACGGGAUUAGAUACCCCGGUAGUCCUGGCUGUAAACGGUGC
rnacentral:rRNA from 1 species